rnacentral:rRNA from 1 species
CUAACAAGGAUUCCCCUAGUAACGGCGAGUGAAGCGGGAUGAGCUCAAGCUUAAAAUCUCCGUGCAAGUUUUGCACGGCGAAUUGUAGUCUAUAGAGGCGUGGUCAGUGAGGGCGCUCGGGGCAAGUUCCUUGGAAGAGGACAGCAUGGAGGGUGAUACUCCCGUUCAUCCCUGAGUGGCUUUUGCGUACGACCCGUGUUCUUUGAGUCGCGUUGUUUGGGAAUGCAGCGCAAAGUAGGUGGUAAAUUCCAUCUAAAGCUAAAUAUUGGUGCGAGACCGAUAGCGAACAAGUACCGUGAGGGAAAGAUGAAAAGAACUUUGAAAAGAGAGUUAAAGAGUACCUGAAACUGCUGAAAGGGAACCGAAUCGUUUCCAGUGUCUAUAAUCCGUGGCAUAUUUCAUUGGCGAGUGUGUGCGUGCGUGUGCUGUGGCAGUGGCUUUUUUGGCUGCGCUCGGCGUGUGUGCUGUGUGUGCUUGUUGGUGCCCUGUGCUGCGGUGGGACGUCAAGGUCAGUUCGUAUGCUGCGGGAAAUGGCUGCCGAGGAGGUAGGGCUUACGCUCCGCGUUUGUCUGUUAUAUCUUGGUGGACGAGUAGUCGCGGUUGGGACUGAGGUGCCUACAACGUGCUUUUGAGUGUGUAUGGGUCUCCGUGUGCGCCGUGUGCGGAUAGCUUGCUAUGCGUGUGUGGUUGUGUGUGGAUUGAUGCGUACUGUAACUUGUCGCCGUUCGGGACGUUGACGAAAUGGAGCGAUCCGACCCGUCUUGAAACACGGACCAAGGAGUCUAACAUGUGUGCAAGUGUUAGGGUGUGGAAACCCCAGCGCGAAAUGAAAGUGAAGGGCAGCGCAAGUUGUCUGAGGUAGGAAACGUUGCGGGCUUCGGUCUGCGGCGUGGCACUAUCGACCGAUCAUGAGCCUUCGUGGUGAAAGAUUUGAGUUUGAGCACAUAUGUUGGUACCCGAAAGAUGGUGAACUAUGCCUGAGUAGGGUGAAGCCAGGGGAAACUCUGGUGGAAGCUCGUAGCGAUUCUGACGUGCAAAUCGAUCGUCAAACUUGGGUAUAGGGGCGAAAGACUAAUCGAACCAUCUAGUAGCUGGUUCCCUCCGAAAUUUCCCUCAGGAUAGCAGCAACUUUUUUACGAUAGUUUUAUGAGGUAAAGCGAAUGAUUAGAGGAUUCGGGGAAGAAACUUUCUCGACCUAUUCUCAAACUUUAAAUCUGUAAGACCUGCAGGUUUCUUAAUUGAACUUGUGGAUGUGAAUAUCAA